CCUACGGGAUGCUGCAGUGGGGAAUCUUCCGCAAUGGGCGAAAGCCUGACGGAGCAACGCCGCGUGAUCGCAUGAAGGCCUUCGGUUUGUAAAGAUCUGUUGACAGGGACGAAUAAGCCAUGCGAAUAGUUUGGUGUAUGACGGUACCUGUGUAGAAAGCUCCGGCUAACUACGUGCCAGCAACCGCGGUAAUACGUAGGGAGCAAGCGUUGUCCGGAAUUACUGGGCGGAAAGGGCGCGGAGGUGGGUGCUGAAGUCAGGUGUGAAAACUCUGGGCUCAACCUGGAGACUGCACUUGAAACUGGGUAUCUUGAGGGCAGGAGAGGAAAGUGGAAUUCCUAGUGUAGCGGUGAAAUGCGUAGAUAUUAGGAGGAACACCAGUGGCGAAGGCGACUUUCUGGACUGUACCUGACGCUGAGGCGCGAAAGCGUGGGUAGCGAACGGGAUUAGAUACCCUUGUAGUC
rnacentral:rRNA from 1 species